rnacentral:misc_RNA from 1 species
UUGAAUGAAUUUGGAGUUUGGUUGUCGCUGGCCCCCAAAUCCAAGGGCAUGUGCACGCCUUCUCCUUCAUCCACACACACCUGUGCACUUGUGAGACGGAGGGAUUAAUUUUCCUCUGUCUACUUAAUCACACAAACUCAUCCUACUUGAACUGAAUGUAAUUGAUGUAACACAUCAUUUGAAC